UACGUAGGUGGCAAGCGUUGUCUGGAUUUACUGGGCGUAAAGGGCGUGCAGGCGGUUUGUUAAGUGCAGGGUGAAAGCUCCCGGCUCAACUGGGAGAGGUCCUUGCAUACUGGCAAACUCGAGGGAGGCAGAGGAAAGUGGAAUUCCCGGUGUAGUGGUGAUAUGCGUAGAUAUCUGGAGGAACACCGGUGGCGAAGGCGGCAUCCUGGACCGACACUGACGCUGAGGCGCGAAAGCUAGGGGAGCAAACGGG
rnacentral:rRNA from 1 species